rnacentral:rRNA from 1 species
UACGUAGGGUGCGAGCGUUGUCCGGAUUUAUUGGGCGUAAAGAGCUUGUAGGCGGCUCGUCGCGUCGGGGUGUGAAAACUUGCGGCUUAACCGCAAGCCUGCACCCGAUACGGGCGGGCUAGAGUUCGGCAGGGGGAGACUGGAAUUCCUGGUGUAGCGGUGGAAUGCGCAGAUAUCAGGAGGAACACCGGUGGCGAAGGCGGCAUCCUGGACCGACACUGACGUGAGGAGCGAAAGCGUGGGUAGCAAACAGG